AGCAUGGGCAUCAGGAAAGGCAAACCAAAUAUGCCUCUUCAAUUCAUACUGUGCAUCACAAAAUUACCUCCAACAGACUAGGCAUAAGAAGCAGGCAUUUUGCCUUUGAAGAGAGAGACGAAGUAAAAAUACAUGUUCUCUCUCCUGCAAGGCAUUUGAGGAGGGGACAACGACCGAGAGUCGGAAGAGUAGCCGGAGGCGGAGCAAGCGGCACCCCGCGGGCUGGGCGACCCUGUGCGCGCAGCGCGUAGGGCGAGCGGCGGCGGCACGCUGGGCUAGCGACGGCGGAGCCUGCGUGCACGAGGUGGGCGGCGCGCGGGGCGAGAGCGGCGGCAAGCAACUGAACCACAAGAAACACCUGCGACGAAUGGAUAAUCAGAUUCCCAGAUUUGGAGGGCAGGGCUCUCAAGACCAGCCGUCUUAUGCUCCUGAUCAAUGGCCCUAUCAGCUACAAUCCUCCAUAGACCCUCUUGAGUGCCCACAGUCCGAACAGGUGAAUUAUGUCAGGGGUGCGCAAGUUUAUCGCGAAGAUGUGGAGAUUGUGCAACCUCCUACAACACGGAAAGGCAAGGAGAAGAAGGUGUCGCGGAGGGGUGGUGGUUUCACAAAAGAAGAAGAUGGAGUCCUUUGUUCCGCCUUCCUCAACGUAAGCAAGGAUGCAAUAACCGGUGUCAAUCAGACUUAAGGAGGUUAUUACAAACGGUUGCAUGAUUAUUAUAAUACUUUUAAGCCAGAGGGAAGUAACCGCAGCCAACUAGCUAUCCAGUAUAGGUGGGGCACCAUUCAAAGAUCGGUGAACAAGUUCUGUGGGUUUAAGUCUGCUGUUGAUCGUCUUCAUGAGAGUGGGAAGAAUGAACAAGACAGGAUUGACGAUGCAGUCCGUAUGUACGAGGCUGUGGAACCUUUCCAAUUCAUGCAUUGCUGGAAAAUCCUCCGAAACGAAUCAAAAUGGAAUGACAAUGUUUUGGAGCUCAACAGCAACUCUGCAGGGACAGGGGGGAAGGUUCUUCACAAGCAAACACAGCUCCUACUGCAGUGGCAGAUGAAGGUAAUGAGAAUAGCAUUCCUGCUAGACCAGCAGGAAGAGAUAGUACUAAAAGAAAGAGUUGCAGAUGCUUCCUCAUCCAGCACAGCAGUUGAUGUGCUUCAACGCAUUCACGACAACAGGGAGAAGUGCCAACAGAAAGAAGAUGAGCAAAUGGUUCAGAUCCUUACUAGGAAAGAUGAGAAACUCAGCCUUCAAAGGGAAUAUCUAGAUCUCAAGAAGCAGCAGCGUGACGAUAAUCUAUGUGUGAACUCAACUUUGUAAGUUCUGUUGUAAUGAUCGUUUCACAACAUCAGUUUUAUAUAUGUGGUAGAGCAAAACGAAAAGUGGAACAAAAUUAGAGACUUAUACUUCCUGACAUGUUCUACUUAAUUACA